AACGUAGGAGACGAACGUUAUCCGGAGUUACUGGGCGUAAAGGGCGUGCAGGCGGCUUGAUAAGUUCGGCGUGAAAUUUCCCGGCUUAACCGGGGGAUGUCGUCGGAGACUGUCGAGCUAGAGGGUGAUAGAGGCGUGUGGAAUUCCGGGUGUAGUGGUGAAAUGCGCAGAUAUCAGGAGGAACACCGGUGGCGAAGGCGGAUCUCUGGGCCAUUACUGACGCUGAGGAGCGAAAGCGUGGGGAGCGAACAGG
rnacentral:rRNA from 1 species